UACAGAGGUCUCAAGCGUUGUUCGGAUUCAUUGGGCGUAAAGGGUGCGUAGGCGGCGCGGUAAGUCGGGUGUGAAAUCUCGGAGCUUAACCCGGAAACUGCAUUGAAUACUAUUCUGCUCGAGGUUUGGAGGGGGGACUGGAAUUCUCGGUGUAGCAGUGAAAUGCGUAGAUAUCGAGAGGAACACCAGUGGCGAAGGCGAGUCCCUGGACAACACCUGACACUGAGGCACGAAAGCUAGGGGAGCAAACAGG
rnacentral:rRNA from 1 species